GGGACAGUAGCUCAAUGGUAGAGCAGUUGCCUUUUAAGCAAUUGGUUCCGGGUUCGAGUCCCGGCUGUCCCACCA
rnacentral:tRNA from 1 species